rnacentral:tmRNA from 1 species
GGGGGUGUCAUGGUUUUGACAUGGUAGAAAGCCUGCAACAGGAACUACUAUGCACGAGAGUUCGAUUCUCUCCGCCUCCACUA